rnacentral:piRNA from 2 species
UCAUUGACAGACUACAGGAGCAGGUAA